GCAUCGCUGCCAUCCCCUCCGCUUUGUAGCUCGCCUCCACCUUGUCCCGAGCGUCGCUGCCGAGAUCCUCUGCCACUGACGACGCAGUUUCGGCCGGCCAUGGCCACCCCCUUCCCUGGUUUAUUUUCUUUCUACCGGCUGAUGGCUGCCGCUACCCUACCACCUUUUUUCUCCUUUUGAUGAAGAGAAACACCAUCCUUUUUUCCCCUGUGCUGGAACCGGCGGGGGAAUUGCUACAACCGGCAGGGGAUUUGCUUCAACCAGUAAGGAUGGUGGUGGGCGACGACGGCAAUGGCUACGGGGGAAGAUAGUGUCGGGCGGCCGCCGCCAUGGAUUUUUGCUGCACAAUUUUUUUGCUGGAACCACCAUUUUGGCUUGCUAGAAUCGGCGAAGAUGAUGAUGGGCGGCUACGACGGUGGCGCCAUGAUUAUUUUUGCUGCAUUGAUUUUUGCUGGAACCGUAUCAAUUUUUUGUUGGAAUCAUGCUGUGUUUUUGCUGGAACCAUAUCAAUGUUUUGCUGGAAACAAGAUCAUUUUUGCUGGAACCAUAUCAAAAUUUUGUUGGAACCAUGUUGUAUUUUUGCUGGAACGAUAUGAACAGUUUGAUUGAAAUAAUGUCAUUUUUGCUGGAA